rnacentral:miRNA from 1 species
ACGUUGUAACUUGUGUAAAUUAU